rnacentral:rRNA from 1 species
GUCCGUCUUUCGACCCCUGCUCGACUUGUAGGUCUCGCGUCGACAGCCUUUGAAACGUGAGCGCUAGCUUACGUGGAGGCGUUGGUGGGAUACUACCCUAGCUGUGUUGGCUUUCUAACCCGCACCACUUAUCGUGGUGGGAGACAGUGUCAGGCGGGCAGUUUGACUGGGGCGGUCGCCUCCUAAAAGGUAACGGAGGCGCUCAAAGGUUCCCUCAGAAUGGUUAGGAAAUCAUUCAUAGAGUAGUAAAGGCAGUAAGGGAGCUUGACUGCGAGACCUACAAGUCGAGCAGGGUCGAAAGACGGAC